rnacentral:rRNA from 1 species
ACUAACCUACGGGGGGCAGCAGUAGGGAAUCUUCCACAAUGGACGAAAGACUGAUGGAGCAACGCCGCGUGAGUGAAGAAGGGUUUCGGCUCGUAAAGCUCUGUUGGUAGUGAAGAAAGAUAGAGGUAGUAACUGGCCUUUAUUUGACGGUAAUUACUUAGAAAGUCACGGCUAACUACGUGCCAGCAGCCGCGGGAAUACGUAGGGGGCAAGCGUUAUCCGGAAUUACUGGG